rnacentral:rRNA from 1 species
ACGGAAGGCAGCAGUGGGGGAUAUUGCACAAUGGGGGAAACCCUGAUGCAGCGACGCCGCGUGAGUGAAGAAGUAUUUCGGUAUGUAAAGCUCUAUCAGCAGGGAAGAUAAUGACGGUACCUGACUAAGAAGCCCCGGCUAACUACGUGCCAGCAGCCGCGGUAAUACGUAGGGGGCAAGCGUUAUCCGGAUUUACUGGGUGUAAAGGGAGCGCAGGUGGUUCGGCAAGUCAGAAGUGAAAAUCCGGGGCUCAACCCCGGAACUGCUUUUGAAACUGUCGGACUUGAGUGCUGGAGAGGUAAGUGGAAUUCCUAGUGUAGCGGUGAAAUGCGUAGAUAUUAGGAGGAACACCAGUGGCGAAGGCGGCUUACUGGACAGCAACUGACACUGAGGCUCGAAAGCGUGGGGGGCAAACAGGAUUAGAUACCCUGGUA